rnacentral:misc_RNA from 1 species
UAUUAUGGGUCCUUCUGGUUCUGGGAAAUCCACCCUUCUUGAUGCAUUAGCAGGUAGACUCUCAGGAAAUGUUAUCAUGACUGGAAAUGUUCUGGUUAAUGGGAAGAAGAGGAAACUUGGCUAUGGUGGUGUCGCUUAUGUAACACAAGAAAAUACGUUGCUGGGAACUCUCACUGUUAGAGAAACAUUAACUUACUCGGCUCAUUUAAGGCUUCCAGGCAGCAUGACCAGAGAAGAGAUUGAAGGCAUUGUAGAAGGAACAAUCAUGGAAA